ensembl:lncRNA MIR3667HG MIR3667 host gene
AUUGGGGACAAUCCUGCGGGGAGGUGCUGAGGAGGGCAGCUACGACAACUGGCCCCACACCAGGAAAAGCUGGGGGCCGCUGAGCCCAGGCCACCAACGGGAGCUGUGGACCCAGCCUGACCCCUGGACCGAGGUGCUUUCAGGGCACAAGGGGGAUGCGGGAGCCUGUGGCUGCUGUUGCUUCUGCUCUCAGUUCAUAAACGCACGCUGUGCACAUCCCCUGUGCUUGGCAAGGGGCCUGGAUAGAAGGGCCAGUGAGGAGAUGCCCAUCCUCCAGGCACUGUGCCUCCUCCCAAAGGUCAGCACCCCGAGCAUCACUGUGCUCUCCCCACAAAGGUCAGCAGCCCCGAGCAUCACUGUGCCCUCCCCUCAAAGGUCAGCGGCCCCGAGCAUCACUGUGCCCUCCCCACAAAGGUCAGCACCCCGAGCAUCACUGUGCCCUCCCCACAAAGGUCAGCACCCCGAGCAUCACUGUGCCCUCCCUCCCAAAGGUCAGCACCCGGAGCAUCACUGUGCCCUCCCCACAAAGGUCAGCACCCCGAGCAUCACUGUGCCCUCCCCACAAAGGUCACCACAGAUGUCCCUGAGCUCUGCAGCACGUGGGUCCAAUACAGAUGUGGCAGGUUUGUCUGUUGGGGAGUGGCCUGGCUGGCAGCUGUGGGGAGAAGGCCAGGACGGGGCACAGCAGAGGCCUCACCUGCCCAGCGGGGGCUCUGGGGCUGGGGUGGCUCCUCAGAGAUUGCCCAAGUCCAGAGCUUGCAUCCUAUGCAGCCGUCACGGGGCACAGGGCCCCUGGGUUACUGGCAGGUCCGUCAGCCAUAGCCACUGCCCCAUCCAGGGCCUGCUGGAUUUGCAGAGGCCAGACUUGGGAACUGACUGGGGGAGGACCAGGCCCCUCUGCACCCCUCAGGAUUUAUGUGGGGGCCGGCCUCUGCCGUCCACCUGGGGCGUGACAAUGCAUUUGAUUCACUGUCUCUCUGUGUCACUGUCUCUAUGUCUGUCUUUAUCUCACUGUGUCUAGGUUUCUGUCUCUCCCACUGUCUCCCUUGCUCAGCUGGGUGGGAAAGGGACAUUCUGGAAGGUUCCACAUGGUCUUCCCUACAGGUCAGGACAACUGGGCUAUUCCAGUGACGUAUUGGGGAUCUGGGAAAUGACCUCUGGGAGUUCCGUGAGCUCCGUCUGGAAGGUCCCCAUUCAUUUCCCGUUCCCUGCUCUGCUCUAUGGGGGCGCGGCGGGGCUGCAGUUCCCUGAUGCUGGCGUCUGCUCUGUCCCCAGCCCACUGCCCUGACCGUUUGGACAGACCCUUCCUCCCCAGCGCCCCUUGGGAGGGCCAGGGGGACCCUUGCCCAAGGCUUCUGUGCAUUUAGGGUUCUUUCUUCCCCUCUCCUGUCUGGAUUCUGCAUCUGGAACCUGCCCCAGGGGGGAGGCUGCGUGGGAUGCUGGGUUUGCUGGGCAGCUGCCUGUGGCCCCAGCCUCCGUCUUGACUGCCUUAGUGGGGUGGGUGGAGCUGCUGCCCACCUCUCCUGCCCCCGGGGCUUGGGUGCUACCGGCUUUCACUCCCACCUCUGUGGGGCAGGCCCCGGUACACCACUCAGUCUGCUGCUCAGCCCCACAACGGCCCUGCCUUCCUUCUGACAGUCAGGCCCCCUUCUGCCAUCAGGGGCCCGGCUCUGUGAUGGUGUCUGGCCGCCAGCCCUGCCCACACCGCCCGGCCACCCCAGCUUCCAGGGAGGCUGCUGCUGCCCACUCUUCCCAGUGGCCAGUGCAGGGUCUCCUGGGCCCCCGGGAGCAGGUCAGCCGGCAGUGUCCAGCCUUACACCACGCCUACCAGCACGGUCACUUCUCAGGGCCUUUGGUCCCCGGCGUGGGCUGAGCUGGGCUCUCGCUCUCCUGCGUCACUGGCAUUGCUUAUGUGCUGUGCCUGUCUCCCUUGACGGCUCUCAGCCCUGCAGGACCAUGGACGUCCCUUCCCUCUCUCAGCAGGAAAAUCUCCAUGAUGCCAGCAGGCGUGUCCACAGAGGAAGGGGCGAAGAAAAUGUCGAAUGGACAGGCGACCUGCAUCCUGCCCAGCUCGGAAGAGGAGGACGUCCUGAGAUUUGCCACAGCCUGGAGGCGAUUGCGCUCGUGACAAAAGCCAGACACAGAAAGACAAAUACCACGUUCUAAUUUGUGCAUGGGAGCUAAAAUAAACCCAGGUGCUCCCUGCUGGAAAGCCACACGCGGCAGAGGAGAGCUGGCAGGAGGAAAAGCGGGUUCGAGUCAGCAGCCUUUGGAGACGGCAGACUGAGAGUGUCACAGAGACCAUCUCAAGUCUGCACGAAUUCCAGGCUCUUUUAUGUUAAGGGCAGGGGGACGGGGAGGGGGUUGGGAUCAAGAGGUGACAGGUGACCGCACACAUGUGGGUGCCAGCGAGGGUCCGAGGAGGCUGGCGAUGCCUUCGUCCUUGGUCAGGUCACGAGCACCUGUGAAUCCACAGCAGAACAGCUGUUCACAGCUUCCCCUUUCAUCCCGGAGUGAGUUUCAAAACCUGCAUCACGACUGCCUCUGUGUAUUUUCUCCGUCCUCUAGAAGAUCCUAGGCUCCGUGCAGGAAUGGGUGAAGGCCCCUUACACAAAAACAAAGUCAGGUCCUGAGUUCUUUUGCUGUUUCUUUGCUUUCUCCUGCAAAGUCACUCGAAAGGUGACUGGCGGAGGUGAGGCUGCGCUAAUUAGCUUGAUUGUGGUGACCCUUCCACAAAGCACGUGUAUGUCGGCAUAUUCACUGGGUCAUGCACCUCGAAUACAUAUUUUUACUUGUCAAAUACAUGAUAAUAAAGG